rnacentral:rRNA from 1 species
UGACCUCGGAUCAGGUAGGGAUACCCGCUGAACUUAAGCAUAUNAAUAA